UACAGAGGGUGCGAGCGUUAAUCGGAAUUACUGGGCGUAAAGCGUGCGUAGACGGUUAUUUAAGUCGGGUGUGAAAGCCCCGGGCUCAACCUGGGAAUUGCAUUCGAGACUGAAUAGCUAGGGUACGGUAGAGGGAAGUGGAAUUUCCGGUGUAGCGGUGAAAUGCGUAGAUAUCUGGAGGAACACCGGUGGCGAAGGCGGCAUCCUGGACCGAGAUUGACGCUGAUGCGCGAAAGCCAGGGGAGCAAACGGG
rnacentral:rRNA from 1 species